AUGAACAUGGUGAUGUGUCACAGAGGGAAAUGGAGGUGUGCUUCACCGGAUUCGAUGCGUACGGCAGCGUGCGACCGUGCUGAAGUUUGUGUCGAGGCCUGGUGUGUCGUGGCUGAUGUGCACGCGAAGAGUGGAUCGACAAGGAGGUGCGACGGUUCGUCGAUGGUGUUUGCGAAGCAGUGGAGUAGCCGAGGACGUUUGGUGAUUUCGCUAGUUCUUCUUCUUUUCUAUUCUUCUGAGUGA